rnacentral:lncRNA from 1 species
UUCAUGAGUAACUAAUUCUUAUUUAAUUUUGAAAAACUGUUUGAUUGAAGUCUUGGCAAUGGAAAUUUUGUUUGUAACAAGAUUUUUUUUCCUGUUUCUUCCCCUCAUUUUAUUAAGACGCUAAUCUUUCUGGCAGCACUACUUUUCUGUAUGAAUAUGAAAAUUCCUGGAAGUGAUUACCUUCUUGGGGGAAUGUAGUCAAGAAGCAGCAUGCAUAUCACAAAAAUAGGGAAAAAACAUUCUGCCUGCACUUAAAAAUAAUGUGAAGGCUACAGUAAUUAACAGGAUUUGAUCUGGAAGCACAUUUGAAUGUUCAGCUCUCAGCCAUGCUCUUAAAAUUUUAUCCAAAAAGGUUAGAUAAAGCCUUUUUCUUUUAUUUUCUUGCCAUCAUGCAAACUGAUGAAUUUUAAAAUGGCAGAAAAUUCUAGUUAGUACUUUCCUAAUAUGUUCUUAAAAGAAGUAUAAGAAAAACAUGAUGUAUUAUAUGGGCAAGCCAGUUUAGCAGGAAGUCUUCUGAGUGCCAGAUUCUGUCUCCUGUAUUCAGAGAAGUAAUACUUCAUUUUGCAAGUUGAAUAAUUAAUUUAUUUGUCUGGCUAAGUAGGCUAAAUUUUGAAUGAAUAAAGCGUUGGAGCAGGACGCAAGUUUAUUUUACAGUGUAGUUUUACCAGAAGCUUUUCAUUUUUUUGCUCUGUGCAAAUCUCAUUAAAAUAGCAGGAUUGAGAGACCGUACUUGGAGAGGUCUUUCUGAAUGAUUUCUUUGAAGAGAAACAAAGCGCUAGAGAGAAAAGAGACAUCUUGAGGUCUGCCUUCUUGGAGUUUUCAGUAGGACGUCUCUUCUUUCCACUCCUUUUGGAAGACAUCAAGAGUGGUUUCUUUAUUCUGGAUCAGACAUCAUUCCUGGUGGUGAAAAUCCAAAUGAAACAAUAUAUGGGUUGAACUUCUGCAUUCUCAUGUGGGGACAGAAACUAUUAGUAAUGUGUAUUGCCA